CUAUGUGUUGUUGGGUAGGGGAGCGUUCUGUAAGCCUGUGAAGGUGGCCUGUGAGGGUUGCUGGAGGUAUCAGAAGUGCGAAUGCUGACAUAAGUAACGAUAAAGCGGGUGAAAAGCCCGCUCGCCGGAAGACCAAGGGUUCCUGUCCAACGUUAAUCGGGGCAGGGUGAGUCGACCCCUAAGGCGAGGCCGAAAGGCGUAGUCGAUGGGAAACGGGUUAAUAUUCCCGUACUUGGUGUUACUGCGAAGGGGGGACGGAGAAGGCUAUGUUGGCCGGGCGACGGUU
rnacentral:rRNA from 1 species